GGAUGAAGCCCUGAGCUGAGCAACCUGGUCACAGCUGACCCUGCUUUGAGCAGGGGGUUGGGAUGGAGACUUCCUGAGCACCCUUCCUGCCUGAAUUGUCCCAUGAACCCUCUGGAAACCUAUAAUUGGGAAGUUAUUCCCCUGUGUGCUGCUGUGUUUUGGUACUUCUGCUUUUCCAGCAGCCUGGCUACAGCUAAGCCCUCCAGCCCCCAUGGCUCAGGAGCCGAUUCUUGCCUACUCAGGGACUUGUCUCUUGAAUUUUGUGCUCAUUUUCAUGUGGUGCUUAAGCUUGAGAGUGCCCACAAGGCCUGGGACCGGUGCAGGAGCAGCCGGUGCUUGGCCAGGAGACUGCAGACCUGGGACCUGCCUCCCCUCCGGGACCAGCCAGGGCUUUGCUUUCAGAGCUCAGAAGGAGACCACGCGCUUCUCUAGACAACUUGGAUUUCACUUGAAAUCUGUCUGGCAGGACCUGGCUUCCAGCCCGCUUGGAACCGUGGCCCAUGGAGAUUAAUGACAUGGAAAAUGAGGAACGCUGACCGUAAAACUCUGAAAUUGUGGGAAAAGACAGCUUAGAGCCAGCCUUUGGUGAGGAGGUGUGUGACUUGUUCUGGGAUGGUGUUUGGAGAGGCAAAGGCUCCUGCUGCUCUUGCAGGGGAACAGCCUCAUAUUUAACAAGAACGUCUUGAAAAAAAGUCUGUCUCUCCGCUCACAAAGGAGCUGGAGUGUCUCAAGUACAGCAAGUCCUUUCCUUCCCCUCCCAGAGGGUGUGAUCCAGGUUUCCGCGGUCAAGAAUGUGUUCCUGAAAAUACAGGACAGCAUGGGCUGGGGCAGGGAAUCAGCCAGAAGCUCCAGUCUCCGAUUUCACCUCCCGACGUGGAGAGGGCACGUCCCUGCCCUGUGCCCCAGCUUUCCUGCCCAGUAAAUCAGCAGCUUCCUCGUGUUUUGGGGAGCCGUGAUAACUGGUGUGCAGCGGGUGCAAGCCAUCCUUGCCGCUUCCCGAGGGUUUUCCUGCAGUGCCAAAGCACUGGGGAUGUGCUGCUGCUUUUGGGGACACUGAACAAUCCCUCAGGCUCCAGUCUGGAGUGUCUUGGUUGUGUGUUUGUGGCCGGACUGGUGAUGGGAUGAUGGUGUUCACUCUGCUCAGGCUGGCAGGGUGGAUUUUUGGGGGUCGCAAGCAGCAGGAGGAACAGGGAAUGGGGAUGCAGGUGGUGGCUGUUUCCCCUGGGUGGGAUGUCCCUCUGGACUGGCUCUGCUGGAUCGCUAAGUAAAAGGCAGAUGAAAUGCAGAUUCAAAAGCCUACUUGUGUCCAGAUGACAGGCUUUCAUCUGGGAAGGUCCUCUGAGCAAAGUGCAUCUCUCCACCAGGCAGGUGUAAUUCACUUGGAAACACAUCUUGGGUUUCUGGUCCCCAAAAAGGUAGGCACAGAGAUGCUGUGGGGGGUGGAUGGUGUGGAUAUGGACUGGAGGGGAAAGGUGAUUUCCACCUGUCAGGUCAUGCACUUUGUGCCCAAGGGUUUUUGUGAUUGUUUCCUGCCUGGCGGAGCUCUGUCCUCAGAGCCUCUCUCUCUGUUUCCUUCCCCAAAUCCCAAUGGAGCAAUAUAAGCUCUUUUCUCCCCAUUCUGAUGCAAGAGCAGUCAAUGGAGGCAGUGGUGGAGGGCACACCCAGAGGUGGCACAGAGCAAAGGAUUUUCCUUUUUCCUGCUGCAAUUUCCUCUCUCGGAGUUGUCUGUCUCUGGAGCAGAGGUGUUUGGCCAUCCCUUCUGCGGACCCUUCCCAGCAGCCUGUCUCGAGCAGGACCAGUGGCUGCAGGCACUGGAUAAAUCAGCAGAGCAGAGGCUCAGAGAGCAAGUGAUUUAGGAGGCUGGGGCAUGUCCCCUUCUGGUCGUGACCCUGUGAAAGCAGGACGGGGAGAGGGAGAGGGCUGUUUGAAGUCCCAGCCAGCCGCCUUUCCUUUUCAGCCCGUUCAGCUGAGCUCGAUUGAAUUAACAUCCCCUGGGUGGAAACAGGGUGAGGGCAGACUUCUGCCUCGUGGGUGAGCCUGUGGUGCCCGUGGCACAGAGAGGCCAGCUGCGGGAGCAUCCCCACCCUUUGCAAACCGCCCUGGAGGGGCUGGGUGGGUGGUUUGCUCCUUUGAUUAUUUCCCCUAACCCAGCCCAAGCAAACAGUGAAGAAACCAGGGAGAAGGGAAGGUGAGGAUGAAUGGGCCCUCAGAUGGGGAAAGGUGGAAAUCACCUGGAAAGAAGAAAGAAGUGUGUGUGUGUGUAUAUAUAUUUAUAUACAUAAAUUUAUACAAAAACCUGACCCAGGCCUGAACUUUUCUGGCAGGGAAGCAAAAUUCAUGAGGAAACAUAGCACAGCCUGCAAUUCCUCAUUAUAUCAGUGGGAGCGACGUUACCGGGGCCAGUAAAUCUGCCAGAUGGCAACGGGGGGAUUAGGUGGGAAGGUGGGACCCGCAGGAGGGUGUUGUGUCUCCCCUCCCCAGCUCCCCCUCCGCCCCCACCUUCCUCGUUAAGGAAUGUUAAUCACCCCAGCUCCCAAAGUGCUCUGGGAGGUUUGCUUACAACAAAAUCUUUACAGGGCUUGGAGAGGGGUUUUCCUUCCUUCUUUCCCUUGCAUGCAAGGCUUGGGAGGGAUGGCAGCUCAAAGCUGCUGCCCUGUUGGCGUCUCUGGGGUCUCUCCACCCACAGGAGACUUGAGGUGAGGAUCCUCUCAGUGAUGUUACAGGUUCCUGGAGUGAUGGGGACCAAAAUUUGGACUGGUGACAGGCUGGGGUUCCUUGUUCGUUAACACCAGGUCCAUGUGGUGUUGCAUCACCGGCAGCAUAAGCACAGUUGGGGAUGAGAGGAGUGUGGGCUACAUCUCUCCACAUUUCUUUGACCCUGCUGCAUGCAUUUGCCCAUUGGUCUACCCAAGGACUUUCAAGAAACUCAGAGAUUUAAUUUGUCUGAGAUAAUUGCCCUUGGUUAGGUUAGUCCACAAGCAAGGAGCAGGCUCAGAGUUAUCUGCAGGGCAGGGAAAAGGAAACAACCCGACAGAUACAUGCCUCAGAAUCCCCUAAGCCUCGUUUGCUUAAGUAACCAGACCAGCGCUGCCAGGUUGGGGUCAGUCCCAGCUGGGUGUUGGCUGCCCUGUGCUUCGCAAGGCUUCUGACACAUCAAGGAAAAGCCUUUUCAACAAAUGCACCAACAAAGAGAGAAAAUAAAAGAUUAGAAAUCAACAGGCUGGCAGAGGACCCAGCUGGCUCCUUUAUCCCCGGGCUUGU